GAUGAACGCUGGCGGCGUGCCUAAUACAUGCAAGUCGAGCGAAGCGGGGACGGGUAAGUAACACGUGGAUAACCUCCUAUAAGACUGGGAUAACUUCGGGAAACCUGAGCUAAACCCGACACUUCUUGAUGUUACCGCGUUGCAUUAGCUAGUUGGUAAGGUAACGGCUUACAAAGGCAACGAUGCAUCGCCGACCUGAGAGGGUGACCGGCCACACUGGAACUGAGACACGGUCCAGACUCCUACGGGAGGCAGCAGUAGGGAAUAUGCCGCAAUGGGCGAAAGCCUGACGGAGCAAUGCCGCGUGAGUGAAGAAGGUCUUCGGAUCGUAAAACUCUGUUAUUAGGGAAGCGGUACCUAAUCAGAAAGCCACGGCUAACUACGUGCCAGCAGCCGCGGUAAUAC
rnacentral:rRNA from 1 species